AUUGAACGCUGGCGGCAGGCCUAACACAUGCAAGUCGAACGAGUGGCGGACGGGUGAGUAAUGUCUGGGAAACCGCCCGAUGGUGGGGGUUAACUACUGGAAACGGUAGCUAAUACCGCAUACCAUCAGAUGUGCCCAGAUGGGAUUGGCUUGUUGGUGGGGUAACGGCUCACCAAGGCGGCGAUCCCUAGCUGGUCUGAGAGGAUGACCGGCCGCACGGGAACUGGGACACGGUCAAGACUCCUACGGGAGGGAGCAGUGGGGAAUAUUGCACAGUGGGCGCAAGCCUGGUGCAGCCAUGCCGCUUGUAUGAAGAAGGCCUUCGGGUUGUAAAGUACUUUCAGCGGGGGGGCGUUACCCGCAGAAGAAGCACCGGCUAACUCCGUGCCAGCAGCCGCGGUAAUAC
rnacentral:rRNA from 1 species